rnacentral:rRNA from 1 species
UUUAUGGAGAGUUUGAUCCUGGCUCAGAGUGAACGCUGGCGGCGUGCCUAAUACAUGCAAGUCGAACGAUGAAGCUUCUAGCUUGCUAGAGUGCUGAUUAGUGGCGCACGGGUGAGUAACGCAUAGGUCAUGUGCCUCUUAGUUUGGGAUAGCCAUUGGAAACGAUGAUUAAUACCAGAUACUCCCUACGGGGGAAAGAUUUAUCGCUAAGAGAUCAGCCUAUGUCCUAUCAGCUUGUUGGUAAGGUAAUGGCUUACCAAGGCUAUGACGGGUAUCCGGCCUGAGAGGGUGAACGGACACACUGGAACUGAGACACGGUCCAGACUCCUACGGGAGGCAGCAGUAGGGAAUAUUGCUCAAUGGGGGAAACCCUGAAGCAGCAACGCCGCGUGGAGGAUGAAGGUUUUAGGAUUGUAAACUCCUUUUGUUAGAGAAGAUAAUGACGGUAUCUAACGAAUAAGCACCGGCUAACUCCGUGCCAGCAGCCGCGGUAAUACGGAGGGUGCAAGCGUUACUCGGAAUCACUGGGCGUAAAGAGCGCGUAGGCGGGAUAGUCAGUCAGGUGUGAAAUCCUAUGGCUUAACCAUAGAACUGCAUUUGAAACUACUAUUCUAGAGUGUGGGAGAGGUAGGUGGAAUUCUUGGUGUAGGGGUAAAAUCCGUAGAGAUCAAGAGGAAUACUCAUUGCGAAGGCGACCUGCUGGAACAUUACUGACGCUGAUUGCGCGAAAGCGUGGGGAGCAAACAGGAUUAGAUACCCUGGUAGUCCACGCCCUAAACGAUGGAUGCUAGUUGUUGGAGGGCUUAGUCUCUCCAGUAAUGCAGCUAACGCAUUAAGCAUCCCGCCUGGGGAGUACGGUCGCAAGAUUAAAACUCAAAGGAAUAGACGGGGACCCGCACAAGCGGUGGAGCAUGUGGUUUAAUUCGAAGAUACACGAAGAACCUUACCUAGGCUUGACAUUGAGAGAAUCCGCUAGAAAUAGUGGAGUGUCUGGCUUGCUAGACCUUGAAAACAGGUGCUGCACGGCUGUCGUCAGCUCGUGUCGUGAGAUGUUGGGUUAAGUCCCGCAACGAGCGCAACCCCCUUUCUUAGUUGCUAACAGGUCAUGCUGAGAACUCUAAGGAUACUGCCUCCGUAAGGAGGAGGAAGGUGGGGACGACGUCAAGUCAUCAUGGCCCUUACGCCUAGGGCUACACACGUGCUACAAUGGGGUGCACAAAGAGAAGCAAUACUGCGAAGUGGAGCCAAUCUUCAAAACAUCUCUCAGUUCGGAUUGUAGGCUGCAACUCGCCUGCAUGAAGCUGGAAUCGCUAGUAAUCGCAAAUCAGCCAUGUUGCGGUGAAUACGUUCCCGGGUCUUGUACUCACCGCCCGUCACACCAUGGGAGUUGUGUUUGCCUUAAGUCAGGAUGCUAAACUAGCUACUGCCCACGGCACACACAGCGACUGGGGUGAAGUCGUAACAAGGUAACCGUAGGUGAACCUGCGGUUGGAUCACCUCCUUUCUAGA